CGAAAUGCGAUAAGUAAUGUGAAUUGCAGAAUUCAGUGAAUCAUCGAAUCUUUGAACGCACCUUGCGCUCCUUGGUAUUCCUUGGAGCAUGCCUGUUUGAGUAUCAUGAAAUCUUCAAAGUAAAUCUUUUGUUAACUCAAUUGGUUUCUACUUUGGUAUUGGAGGUCUUUGCAGCUUCACACCUGCUCCUCUUUGUUCAUUAGCUGGAUCUCAGUGUUAUGCUUGGUUCCACUCGUCGUGAUAAGUUAUCUAUCGCUGAGGACACUGUAAAAGGUGGCCAAGGUAAAUGCAGAUGAACCGCUUCUAAUAGUCCAUUGACUUGGACAAUACUUUUAUGAUCUGAUCUCAAAUCAGGUAGGACUACCCGCUGAACUUAAGC
rnacentral:misc_RNA from 1 species